UACGUAGGUGGCAAGCGUUGUCCGGAUUUACUGGGCGUAAAGGGCGUGCAGGCGGUUUGUUAAGUGCAGGGUGAAAGCUCCCGGCUCAACUGGGAGAGGUCCUUGCAUACUGGCAAACUUGAGGGAGGCAGAGGAAAGUGGAAUUCCCGGUGUAGUGGUGAUAUGCGUAGAUAUCGGGAGGAACACCUGUGGCGAAGGCGGCUUUCUGGGCCUUACCUGACGCUGAGACGCGAAAGCGUGGGGAGCGAACCGG
rnacentral:rRNA from 1 species